UCUCCGUAGGUGAACCUGCGGAGGGAUCAUUACAGAGUUCAUGCCCUACCGGGUAGAUCUCCCACCCUAUGUUAUUGUUACUUUGUUGCUUUGGCGGGCCGUUAGGCUCCGGCCCGACUACCGGCCCCGGCUGGUAAGCGCCCGCCAGAGGACCCAAAACCCUGAAUAUUAGUGUCGUCUGAGUACUAUAUAAUAGUUAAAACUUUCAACAACGGGUCUCUUGGUUCUG
rnacentral:misc_RNA from 1 species